rnacentral:rRNA from 1 species
GCGUCCGAUUASCCAGUUGGCGGGGCAACGGCCCACCAAAGCGACGAUCGGUAGGGGUUCUGAGAGGAAGGUCCCCCRCAAUGGAASUGAGACACGGUCCAUACUCCUACGGGAGGCAGCAGUGAGGAAUAUUGGUCAAUGGGCGGAAGCCUGAACCAGCCAUGCCGCGUGCAGGAAUAAGGCCCUAUGGGUUGUAAACYGCUUUUCCCGCGGAGCAAUAAGGAUGUUUUGGACAUCCGAUGAGAGUACGCGGGGAAUAAGCAUCGGCUAACUCCGUSCCAGCAGCCGCGGUMAUACGGAGGAUGCGAGCGUUAUCCGGAUUCAUUGGGUAUAAAGGGUGCGUAGGCGGCUCUGCAAGUCAGCGGUGAAAUGUCCGGGCCCAACCCGGAAGGUGCCGUUGAUACUGUGGAGCUGGAGUACGUCGCCGGGGAGGAAUGAGUGGYGUAGCGGUGAAAUGCAUAGARAUCACUCAGAACACCGAUUGCGAAGGCAUCCGCCGAGACCGAAACUGACGCUGAGGCACGAAASCGUGCCGUUUUAACAGGAUUAGAUACCCUGGUAUUCCAC